UUAGGAUUUGAUUAGGAUUUGAUUAGGAUUUAAUUAAGAUUUAAGAUAAGAUUAGAAUUUAAAAUUUGAUUUAGGAUUUAGGUUUUAGGAUUUGCUUAGAGUUUAUGAUUUAUGGUUUAUAAUUUAAGAUUUAUUUAGCAUUUAGAAUUUGGUCUAAGAUUUGAUUAAAAUCUAUUAGAAUUUCAACUAGAAUUAAAUUAGGACUUAGUUGAGAUUUAUUUAAGAUAUAUGUGUGAUCAUUGUAAUAUUUCUUUGGAAUUUCUUAAAGAUUUUUUAAUGGUUUAUUGUCAAUUUUUUUCAAACACCUUUAAGAUUUCUUAUUAUUUUUUUUGUAAUUUCUUUAAGAUUUAUUUUAAAUUUAAUUAAAACUUACUUAGUAUUAUUAAGGUUUAAUUA
rnacentral:lncRNA from 1 species